rnacentral:rRNA from 1 species
CAGCCGCCGCGGUAAUACGUAGGUGGCGAGCGUUGUCCGGAUUUACUGGGUGUAAAGGGCGUGUAGGCGGGAGGGCAAGUCAGAUGUGAAAUACCGAAGCUCAACUUCGGGGCUGCAUUUGAAACUGUUCUUCUUGAGUGCAGGAGAGGAAAGCGGAAUUCCUAGUGUAGCGGUGAAAUGCGUAGAUAUUAGGAGGAACACCAGUGGCGAAGGCGGCUUUCUGGACUGUAACUGACGCUGAGGCGCGAAAGCGUGGGUAGCAAACAGGAUUAGAUACCCUGGUAGUCCACGCCGUAAACGAUGGAUACUAGGUGUUGGGGGUAUCGACCCCUCCAGUGCCGGAGUUAACACAAUAAGUAUCCCACCUGGGGAGUACGGCCGCAAGGUUGAAACUCAAAGGAAUUGACGGGGGCCCGCACAAGCAGUGGAGUAUGUGGUUUAAUUCGAAGCAACGCGAAGAACCUUACCAGGGCUUGACAUCCAUAGAAUCCUGUAGAGAUACGGGAGUGCCUUCGGGAGCUAUGAGACAGGUGGUGCAUGGCC